GCUGCUGGGAGGAGUGGCGGUGCUGGGAGGGCACGGUGCGGAGCUGUCCUGCUGUGCAGCGCAAGGGAAAGUCGACCAGCACCGUUGCUGUCCGAGGACCCUGGAACAGCCCGAGAGACCCUGGAACAGCCACCCCACGGACACCGUGUCACUGCCUCGCAAGGCCACUGCAUGCAGGGUAGCCCACCGAAGGGGGACAUCUCGAAGAGAAGCAGCAAGAGCUGGGGGUCCGGUGGUUCAUUUUGGUCGUCGCCUGUGAGGCCAGCAUGCAAGAGUAAGAGGAAGCUAGGAGCAGUCUCAAAAAGAGGUGGAACCAAGGACAGCAAAUGCUGACGAGGAGAAGAGACGGACGAGCAUUUGCUUGCGGUUAAUACCGAAGGGAGGGGAUGAAACAAGGAAGCCAGAAUGCAGCGGCCCCUCGAUAUCACCAGGAACUGCUAUAGGAGGAGGCGUUCUGGCACGGGUAACUAGGAUUAAUUGCCACGGCUGAAGUUGAAGAGACCAAGAAACGUAAGCCGCAAAGGGGCACAUCUUGAAGAGAGGGGGCUAGACCUAGCGAUGCAGUUGUUCGUUUUGGUCGUCGCCUGUGAGGCCAGCAUGCAAGAGUAAGAGGAAGCUAGGAGCAGUCUCAAAAAGAGGUGGAACCAAGGACAGCAAAUGCUGACGAGGAGAAGAGACGGACGAGCGUUUGCUUGCGGUUAAUACCGAAGGGAGGGGAUGAAACAAGGAAGCCAGAAUGCAGCGGCCCCUCGAUAUCACCAGGAACUGCUACAGGAGGAGGCGUUCUGGCACGGGUAACUAGGGGUAGCCCACCGAAGGGGGACAUCUCGAAGAGAAGCAGCAAGAGCUGGGGAUCCGGUGGUUCAUUUUGGUCGUCGCCUGUGAGGCCAGCAUGCAAGAGUAAGAGGAAGCUAGGAGCAGUCUCAGAAAGAGGUGGAACCGAGGACAGCAAAUGCUGACGAGGAGAAGAGACGGACGAGCGUUUGCUUGCGGUUAAUACCGAAGGGAGGGGAUGAAACAAGGAAGCCAGAAUGCAGCGGCCCCUCGAUAUCACCAGGAACUGCUACAGGAGGAGGCGUUCUGGCACGGGUAACUAGGAUUAAUUGCCACGGCUGAAGUUGAAGAGACCAAGAAACGUAAGCCGCAAAGGGGCACAUCUUGAAGAGAGGGGGCUAGACCUAGCGAUGCAGUUGUUCGUUUUGGUCGUCGCCUGUGAGGCCAGCAUGCAAGAGUAAGAGGAAGCUAGGAGCAGUCUCAGAAAGAGGUGGAACCGAGGACAGCAAAUGCUGACGAGGAGAAGAGACGGACGAGCGUUUGCUUGCGGUUAAUACCGAAGGGAGGGGAUGAAACAAGGAAGCCAGAAUGCAGCGGCCCCUCGAUAUCACCAGGAACUGCUACAGGAGGAGGCGUUCUGGCACGGGUAACUAGGAUUAAUUGCCACGGCUGAAGUUGAAGAGACCAAGAAACGUAAGCUGCAAAGGGGCACAUCUUGAAGAGAGGGGGCUAGACCUAGCGAUGCAGUUGUUCGUUUUGGUCGUCGCCUGUGAGGCCAGCAUGCAAGAGUAAGAGGAAGCUAGGAGCAGUCUCAAAAAGAGGUGGAACCAAGGACAGCAAAUGCUGACGAGGAGAAGAGACGGACGAGCGUUUGCUUGCGGUUAAUACCGAAGGGAGGGGAUGAAACAAGGAAGCCAGAAUGCAGCGGCCCCUCGAUAUCACCAGGAACUGCUACAGGAGGAGGCGUUCUGGCACGGGUAACUAGGGGUAGCCCACCGAAGGGGGACAUCUCGAAGAGAAGCAGCAAGAGCUGGGGAUCCGGUGGUUCAUUUUGGUCGUCGCCUGUGAGGCCAGCAUGCAAGAGUAAGAGGAAGCUAGGAGCAGUCUCAAAAAGAGGUGGAACCAAGGACAGCAAAUGCUGACGAGGAGAAGAGACGGACGAGCGUUUGCUUGCGGUUAAUACCGAAGGGACGGGAUGAAACAAGGAAGCCAGAAUGCAGCGGCCCCUCGAUAUCACCAGGAACUGCUACAGGAGGAGGCGUUCUGGCACGGGUAACUAGGAUUAAUUGCCACGGCUGAAGUUGAAGAGACCAAGAAACGUAAGCCGCAAAGGGGCACAUCUUGAAGAGAGGGGGCUAGACCUAGCGAUGCAGUUGUUCGUUUUGGUCGUCGCCUGUGAGGCCAGCAUGCAAGAGUAAGAGGAAGCUAGGAGCAGUCUCAGAAAGAGGUGGAACCGAGGACAGCAAAUGCUGACGAGGAGAAGAGACGGACGAGCGUUUGCUUGCGGUUAAUACCGAAGGGAGGGGAUGAAACAAGGAAGCCAGAAUGCAGCGGCCCCUCGAUAUCACCAGGAACUGCUACAGGAGGAGGCGUUCUGGCACGGGUAACUAGGAUUAAUUGCCACGGCUGAAGUUGAAGAGACCAAGAAACGUAAGCUGCAAAGGGGCACAUCUUGAAGAGAGGGGGCUAGACCUAGCGAUGCAGUUGUUCGUUUUGGUCGUCGCCUGUGAGGCCAGCAUGCAAGAGUAAGAGGAAGCUAGGAGCAGUCUCAAAAAGAGGUGGAACCAAGGACAGCAAAUGCUGACGAGGAGAAGAGACGGACGAGCGUUUGCUUGCGGUUAAUACCGAAGGGAGGGGAUGAAACAAGGAAGCCAGAAUGCAGCGGCCCCUCGAUAUCACCAGGAACUGCUACAGGAGGAGGCGUUCUGGCACGGGUAACUAGGGGUAGCCCACCGAAGGGGGACAUCUCGAAGAGAAGCAGCAAGAGCUGGGGAUCCGGUGGUUCAUUUUGGUCGUCGCCUGUGAGGCCAGCAUGCAAGAGUAAGAGGAAGCUAGGAGCAGUCUCAGAAAGAGAUGGAACCGAGGACAGCAAAUGCUGACGAGGAGAAGAGACGGACGAGCGUUUGCUUGCGGUUAAUACCGAAGGGAGGGGAUGAAACAAGGAAGCCAGAAUGCAGCGGCCCCUCGAUAUCACCAGGAACUGCUACAGGAGGAGGCGUUCUGGCACGGGUAACUAGGAUUAAUUGCCACGGCUGAAGUUGAAGAGACCAAGAAACGUAAGCUGCAAAGGGGCACAUCUUGAAGAGAGGGGGCUAGACCUAGCGAUGCAGUUGUUCGUUUUGGUCGUCGCCUGUGAGGCCAGCAUGCAAGAGUAAGAGGAAGCUAGGAGCAGUCUCAAAAAGAGGUGGAACCGAGGACAGCAAAUGCUGACGAGGAGAAGAGACGGACGAGCGUUUGCUUGCGGUUAAUACCGAAGGGACGGGAUGAAACAAGGAAGCCAGAAUGCAGCGGCCCCUCGAUAUCACCAGGAACUGCUACAGGAGGAGGCGUUCUGGCACGGGUAACUAGGGGUAGCCCACCGAAGGGGGACAUCUCGAAGAGAAGCAGCAAGAGCUGGGGAUCCGGUGGUUCAUUUUGGUCGUCGCCUGUGAGGCCAGCAUGCAAGAGUAAGAGGAAGCUAGGAGCAGUCUCAAAAAGAGGUGGAACCAAGGACAGCAAAUGCUGACGAGGAGAAGAGACGGACGAGCAUUUGCUUGCGGUUAAUACCGAAGGGACGGGAUGAAACAAGGAAGCCAGAAUGCAGCGGCCCCUCGAUAUCACCAGGAACUGCUACAGGAGGAGGCGUUCUGGCACGGGUAACUAGGAUUAAUUGCCACGGCUGAAGUUGAAGAGACCAAGAAACGUAAGCCGCAAAGGGGCACAUCUUGAAGAGAGGGGGCUAGACCUAGCGAUGCAGUUGUUCGUUUUGGUCGUCGCCUGUGAGGCCAGCAUGCAAGAGUAAGAGGAAGCUAGGAGCAGUCUCAAAAAGAGAUGGAACCGAGGACAGCAAAUGCUGACGAGGAGAAGAGACGGACGAGCGUUUGCUUGCGGUUAAUACCGAAGGGAGGGGAUGAAACAAGGAAGCCAGAAUGCAGCGGCCCCUCGAUAUCACCAGGAACUGCUACAGGAGGAGGCGUUCUGGCACGGGUAACUAGGAUUAAUUGCCACGGCUGAAGUUGAAGAGACCAAGAAACGUAAGCCGCAAAGGGGCACAUCUUGAAGAGAGGGGGCUAGACCUAGCGAUGCAGUUGUUCGUUUUGGUCGUCGCCUGUGAGGCCAGCAUGCAAGAGUAAGAGGAAGCUAGGAGCAGUCUCAAAAAGAGGUGGAACCAAGGACAGCAAAUGCUGACGAGGAGAAGAGACGGACGAGCAUUUGCUUGCGGUUAAUACCGAAGGGACGGGAUGAAACAAGGAAGCCAGAAUGCAGCGGCCCCUCGAUAUCACCAGGAACUGCUACAGGAGGAGGCGUUCUGGCACGGGUAACUAGGAUUAAUUGCCACGGCUGAAGUUGAAGAGACCAAGAAACGUAAGCCGCAAAGGGGCACAUCUUGAAGAGAGGGGGCUAGACCUAGCGAUGCAGUUGUUCGUUUUGGUCGUCGCCUGUGAGGCCAGCAUGCAAGAGUAAGAGGAAGCUAGGAGCAGUCUCAAAAAGAGGUGGAACCGAGGACAGCAAAUGCUGACGAGGAGAAGAGACGGACGAGCGUUUGCUUGCGGUUAAUACCGAAGGGACGGGAUGAAACAAGGAAGCCAGAAUGCAGCGGCCCCUCGAUAUCACCAGGAACUGCUACAGGAGGAGGCGUUCUGGCACGGGUAACUAGGGGUAGCCCACCGAAGGGGGACAUCUCGAAGAGAAGCAGCAAGAGCUGGGGAUCCGGUGGUUCAUUUUGGUCAUCGCCUGUGAGGCCAGCAUCCGAGCGUAAGAGGAAGCUAGGAGCUGUGUCGAAAAGAGAUGGAACCAAGGACAGCAAAUGCUGACGAAGAGAGGAGACGGACAAGCGUUUGCUUGCGGUUAAUACCGAAGGGAGGGGAUGAAACAAGGAAGCCAGAAUGCAGCGGCCCCUCGAUAUCACCAGGAACUGCUACAGGAGGAGGCGUUCUGGCACGGGUAACUAGGGUAAGUAUGGCUAAUGACCGUUAGCAGUUAUUUUGGCCUCCCCGAGGCAGCGCUGAGGACUGAGUAACCCGUUCCUGCCCUGUGGCUGCUGUUCCCUGUAUCUGCCUUAGCUUUGCUUUGGCUGUUUCUGUUUUGCGUUGUUACUGCACACGCGUACGUGGAAAGGGAAAGACAGAACGAAUGCUCUCUUAGAUUAAUGGCCACGGCUGAGGUUGAAGAGAGUAAAAAACGUGAGCAAGCUGAAGUAAUAGAAUCCAAGGGAGCCAAGUCAAAGUUGUCUUCCUCUGCCAGAAAAAGGGAAAGCCCGUUCCUCCUGGCGAGGAAGGAGCCCCAUUAAUAGCGAUCUGAAUAAUAGAUCGCCAGCGUAUAACGGAAGGUCUGUAUGCAUUACGAGAAGUGCUCUGCGGACAUGUGUCUCCAUGUGUGUGACUUUACGUGCCUGUGAAGCGUCAUACUUCACGAGCUGCGAGACAGCAAAUUAUUAUCUUGGGGGAGUGAUGGUCAAGUGACCAGAGCUACUGAAGAGGAAGGGAGGGAGAGAAGGGUCUGAAGUGUAAAACUGAGAGAUCGAUUUCAGGAAGGCUCAAUCAGCGCAAGCCCCGGGUUGGUUACCUGGCAAUGGUAUUUGGGGAGACGGGAUGACAGUAGAUAGGUUGAAGCCUCAUGGAAUUAAGGCUCCUUCUCACCGGUUCCCGCUUAGAGCAAUUGUAGGAGGAUUUAGUUUCCUCCAGCAGCAUUAAGGUGGCUUUGCCGGUGUCAGCAGGCCGUGGUGGAAAGUACUGGGAGGGAGUCGGGAAGGGAGCUGGGACGAGGAACGUGACUCUGCUUUCACUGAACUGGAAGAAGUGGCUAUAAAACCUGCUGCCCUCAAAUUCCCAGGACAAGGAAAGCCUUUUUCGGUAAUGCUUUCCACAUCUGCUGACUGCGUGGGAGCAGCACCGCUAGAAAACGGCAGUAAAGGAAAGCGGGUGCCGGUCGCCUCACCUUUACGUCCCCUUUGGGGGUGGAACAAAAAGUCUCUGGCUGUGAGAAAGACUGUUCAGCAGCGAUGUGGGCUGUAACCGUCUUUGAGACUUUUAGCUUUGAUCGCGCAGGGGCCAUCCAAUCUAUUCAGUUCCCUCUAAAAUAAUCACGUCAGGGAAAUGAAGAGACAGCGGAGUAUCAUCUAUCCGAGUGGCGCAGUGGGCGCUGAUCUUAACGAGCGGGGGCAGGGGGGCAGUUGCUGUGCAAGUGUUACAAGCAGUGGCUCUUCUUGUGCGCGUCUGAAUUGACUGAGGGGCAGAGCACGGUUGCGCCAAAAACGCGGACGCAGGAGGUUUCCGAGAGGUUGAUCUCUAGCGGCUACUUAGUCUGACUUCCCUUUCGCGGCAAGCCCGACUGUCUUCAUAGCUCUCAGAACAGGGGUUAGGGGAAGCGGUACUUGUGGCUUGCGUAUUCUUGUUUACCUUGCUUGAGUGUGUAUAUUGGAUCCGCUUUUGUGCUUAUAAACAACUUUGGAUUCUUAUGAUUUUCUGCAGAGCUUUGAUCUUUUUCUUUUUUUCUUUUUCUUCUUGGUUUGUUUUUUUUUUUUUUGCUUUGCUCCCUCCCUGAUGGAUUUUACUAUGCCUCCGUCAACGAGCCCUGGCUGGCAAAGUUGCUGUGUCCCAGCGGAGACUCUUAGGCGAGAUGGAGGAGUUCAGAUCCGCAGCCUGCCAGAAGAACGUCGCCCAGGAGGGGUUGCUAGCCUCGAGCUAUAGGCGCUGGCGUUCAGGACCUCGGGGAACGACUGUGUGCUGCCGUGAAGAACUACAGGCUACCACCGCUCUCGGACCUUUGUAAGUUAUCACGCGUCGAGAGCUUCCAGGAGAAUUCAAACGCCAGCAGAAAGGUUCUCCGCCUGGUCCCGACGAGGAGGCUUCGGCCACAGGAAGGUCGGCAGUGUCCUUACCGGACUCGCGGGAUGCUGUUCUGAGGGCCAGCAACUCGAAGGGAUGCAGCUCGGCCCUUUUUGUUGACUUUGGUGAUGCUGUUUUGAGGAAGCAUGUGCCGAAGCCCAGUUGGGCAGUCGAAGGAGCCUUGUCACAGCUGGGAGCUCUGCGGAGAUGCGCGGCUGGCCAUGGAGAGUGAGCUCUGACUUGCAGCGUGGACACAGCUAAGUCCUGGGCUGCAUCAUAUGUGAGCAGUGCUGGGAGGUGCGAGGUGAUUGUUCCCUAGGUGGUCACUGGUGUCACUGGCUGUGGAUGUUUGCCCAUGGAGCUGAGAGGACCAAAAAUAUUAAUUGUCUGACCCGGAGAUGAAUUAGUGCUUGCAGUGCUUCAGGUAGGUUCAGUGCAAGUGCAGCCUAGUGCAGUCCUGUGGAGUGAUUCUUGCACAUGCUCACAUUUGAAUGGUGGCUAAAACCAAGCCUCUAAACAGCAGCUGUAACGUGAUUCUGGUGCAUGUCUUCCCGUUCUGCUGUGCUUCUAGAGGAAGGGAAAACUUCUUAAGCUGUGGGCAAAACUCCUUGCCUUCUCUUUACUGUUUUCAUGCGUAUGGGUGCUUUGGUGUUUGUUGCUUAAAGCUGAGGGUUUGGAAUUUUUCACUUAAGGUUUAUUGUUUAGUUUGUUGUUGAGGGUCUCUCACUCCGGAGUUACAGUUUAUUCCUUUCUUUUGUGGGGCUCAGUCUUUAUCAGUCAGGGUUUACAGUUUGCUCGUUUAGUGAUCAGGGCGCAGAAUUUAAAAUCCAACCUUAGCCAUAAAUUUUAAAGUCUCGGCAACUAUUAGGGUUCCAAGACCUGCAGUUAGUGUUCAGGGCUUAUGACUUACUGAUAAAGGAAAAGGGCUAAAUCCUUAGAUAAACUGUAAGCCCUGAAGCCUAAGCAGCAGGCUGCAAACCCUUCUUUGGGCUUUGUAACCUUCCCCUGUACCCAGCGUUCAGCUCUGCACACCGACCUGCGCUCUGGAUUUGAUAUGGCGCAGGCCCAUCACACGGAGACUGGCAAUGUGACGGGUGAGCUGAGAGCUGUGGAAGUGUCUUGCAGGGCUCUAGCCUGGGGUAGGGCAGAAGUGCAGACAGGCAAGAUCAGGCAUUUUCCUCUCAUCUCUGAGCUGAAUCCUAUCCCUGAAGGAAAAAGCAGAGGAGCAGGCUGUCAGCUACUCGGACACCUGCCACAUCAAGGGCAGCAGCAGGAGAUGACCCUUCCCUGAUGGAUGGAUGGACGCUGGUGUAGUGAUGACUCUUCAGGCAUCACAGGUAAGGGGAAGCAUGCUGACACUGAGCUCCAUGGCAGACUUGCUUCCAGCUAUUGUUUCUGCGCAGUAAAACAAUAAACAGUUGCUUUAUUCUUUGCA